GAGACUGGAAAUUUGGAGAGCUGAAAAAUAAACACACAAACAAAAACUCUGUGAACAAAUCUUUCAUGCCUUAUUUCUUGUCAUUAAAAGGCAAUACCCCCAGUUCUUCCAAGAUAAUUUCACAUCACUUUAACAAAGAUUCAGAGAAAUAAAGAAAGUGCAAAUCCUCUUUCACUUCAGUCAGCUGAGCCACUGCCAGCAGAGCAAUUCACUGGGGGAGUUUCUAUGAGGAAGCCCUGAAAUAAGCUGAAACUCUGGGGAAGGAGACAUUUUCAAUGAACAUCUACAUUCACAGAAGCCUAGGAACCAUUUCACAGUGUCUUUGAACAAGGCUGGGAAGAGAAGGAUGCAGAGAAUGGCGGGCGUGGUAUGUUCUGCUUGACAUUUAUUCUCCAAGGCUUUCUGUAAUAAUAUAAAAACGUAGUUGAGGGUAUCUGAGAGGUCCAGCCAGGCUGGUGGCCUGGCAGUGCAAGACCCAAAGGACAGGGGCUUGGUUUGCAGGCAGCGGGCAGGUAGUGGGACGGCUGCCACCACUUGCUUGUCCUUCAGGAGCCCCAGGUUCCCCUCCGAGCAGCACUAAGGCAGCUGUGCCCACCCGAGCGCUUGCUCCAGUACACAGCUCAGGGAAAAUGGGACCUGGGAGAAAAAGGCAUGCAUUUAUUUAUUUGCAUAUUUACAUAUAUUUGAAAUGUAUGCAGGACGUCAAGCCUUAGAAGCAAGAAAGAGGAUGAUAAGGAUUUGAAGAGCUAUGUUUCAACCAUGCACGGUGUUUGCCCAGCUCAACCAGCAAGGCUCAGUGUGCUGAGCUCCAGUACUGCGUGUUAGACUUGCCAGGAGGCGAGGCAGAGAGGGCUGAGCGUGGGGAAACUUCUUUCCUGAGCAGCUCUUCCUGACUGACGUACUGAAACAGGAGUCCUGACAUGGAAGCUGUCAUGGCAUGAGGAUUACAGCUCCUGGAAACCAGUUGGCCUCCAAAGCUGGUGUGUAAAGCCACUAGCCCCACAGCCCACAGGGCAUACCUGUGGUGUAAGCGCUGCCCAGGACAGCCCUGCAGUUCCCUCCUCUCCCUGCAGAUUCGUGGGAGGAAAACCAUGACGAGAGCCGGAGACAGGGUGUACAGAGCAGGAGGGAGGUGCCGCAACUGCAGGCGCAGCCCGAGGAGCACAGAGGUCUGCCCAGGAAGGAAGAAGAGCUGCAAGCAGCUCAGCGAAGGUGGAGGAGGAAGCAGCUCUGACGGAAACUGUGACCUGGAUUCUUAGAUCACUGAAUUGCAGGAAGACUUGGAGUCUAAUUGAGCAGCCAGCAAAAAAAAACAGUAGAAACUCAAAUUAGAGCCUGCUGAGAAACUGGAAUUCCUUCAACCAGCAGCAAAGCUUUCUGGAAGGAGAAAAAGGAUGGCACUGUCUGAGAAAACAACUUUGAGGUCAAGCUGGACAACAGCAGAGGCUUUCUAAAGCACUGGGAAAGGAAUCUAGUUGAACCAGCAGAAAGCUUCUCAGCUGGACAAUAUACAGGAGCAGAUCCAGGAGGCAAACCUCAACAUGUGGCCAAGGCAGGUGGAGACAGUCACACGGCCCUGGCAAUGCAAGGGACAAAGCAAUUGUCCCCUAACUCUGUGGACACUCCUCCUACAUUACUAAGGCUGUGCAGCCUCAAAAGAACCUGGAAAUACUGAAGCUGCAGCCUUGUGCAACCCCAAGGCAGAUGUCCAGAAGUACUGAGUGAUCCACCAGCUGUCAUCGAGAGACAGACAGACAUAGCUGAGGACUGCAGGUCUCCGCUACGUCCUUAGGUGCCCUCUUUGCUCUCCAGCUGCUGCUCCUGCCCUGCGUGGACCAGUCUCCUGAGGCCCUACACUGUGUCUGACAAUUCUAUGCAGUCUCAGAAACCUUGGGGUGUUUAAAGUGGUGGGUAGGCAAGUUGUGCCCUGCUUAUUUGCAGCUGUACUGCCAGCCCCUCUUCCACUUCCUGUGGGUCCUUCCUGUCUUCUCCCUUGGCUUCCAUCCAGGCCUUGGUGGCAUACCAAGUUGUUGCAAACGAUCUCCAAAAUUUCAAGCGUUUUGCUAGAGUUGUGGCUGCCGGCAGAGUCCACGUUAAAGCCACAGCUACUGCAGCAGUGAAGCAAGCGGAGAGGGCUGACGGUGCUGGAUCUGAGCAUUGCACAGCUCGCUGUGACACUGAGAGAGCAUCUCCUCCCUCUCCUCAAAAGGAAAGAGCUGGAAGGAAAAUGAUCAACUAGAAAAGUGUGUUCAUAGGAGGAAGAGUUUAGUUUGUUUGUGGAUUCAGCUGCCCAGCACAAGCAGUACUUGUUAGCACUGGCAGUUGUGCUGCAGGAGUGGCCUCAUGAAAAAAGAAUGCUUUCUCAGGGCUAGGAUAAAGCAGUCAUUUUAUAAUAGUUAUUGGAAGAUACCAAUCAAAGGCUGCAGUCACCUCUGAUCCAUUUCGGAGCACGACAGAAAGGCUGUUAUCUGGAAGAACAAAGGGAACCAGGCUGUUAAAACCAGCAGACGGUGUCAGGCAAGCAGAACAAGGCUGGGAAUGCUAAACGCGGCACACUCAAAACCAAAUGAGCAAAGCAGCAAGGCACUCGCUUACCCCUGCGCCCUGGGAACAGCCCGCUAGCAGAGAUGAUGGAUGGAGAGGAGGGGGUGCAGGGCCUGGAGCUUGCUGGGGAGCCUGGGAAGGACCGAGGGUCCCUGGCUGCAUGAGCUCACAGCCUCUUGGGUGCUGCAGGGGGUGGCCUCCCUCCUUCCCCACCUCCUGCGAGGGAAGGUGGGAUGCUAGGUAGGGGUGUAAGCGGGGAGAAAGAACACUGUAGAGUGCAUCUUCCAAAGACAGAUUUCAUUUGCUUUGAAGAUCUGUUCUCUCUUUUCUGUUAAGGCAUAUGGAAAUUGACUGCACUGUGUCCUGAAGCUAUGUGGAUGUUGGUUUUUCUGAUGUAACUAAGGAUUCAAUAGCGUGUAGCUCCCUGUAAUGUGGUCUGAUAGGACAUCUUCAAUUUGCCACUGUAGACAAGUUUCUUUGAUUGUUUUGUGACUAGUGCAAUUGGAAACAUAUUCCAAACACAAUGAUGGGAAGAAAGGGAGGCCUGCGUUUCCCUUCAAUGCUCCCCAUGUGAUCUAUCUGGAAUGGGUACCCUUGCAGUUUUCUGUGGUUCUUUUGCAUACAGCUACCCACUGAGCGAAGUAAGAGUCUCUCUGCUUUUUUGGCAUAAAAGGAGCUAUUCUUUCAAAGCAUGGGGUUUUCCAGGUUAGUAAUAAAAUUAUCUUUGUGUCUCUUAAACAUAGAGCUUCUGCAAGUGCAAUUCAUAAAACAAGUGUCAUGGGAUGUUUUCAGAGCAACUCAAGGUCUGUUCCACUUCCACAGAGAUCGUGAAAGUCUUGCUGUUGACUUACAUCUCGCUGUUGAUAAUAUCCUGCUUCACCUCCAGUUGUUAUUCCAGCAGAAGAGAGGUCUCUUGUGCUCCUGUGUAACAUCUGUAGGCCCUUCUGGCUGUUCACCCAUGUCCCUCAUGAAGCUGUGCCAGGCACUGAUUUAUCAGAGGUGCAGUAAAAUGCUGCAUCCUACCUUAAAAUUCCUAAAGACAGAAAACAAGUUCAUAAGCUUUUGUCUGCAGGUGGCAACAUGCAAACCUGCCUGUGCAGGUGGGAGAUCUCAGUCCUCUCCAUUGGCUGCAAUCAGGGUUUUCAAAGUCCUGCAUCAGCAUUUUUCAAGCCUGUACACACUUGAAUCAGAACAGGAAGAAAACUUCCAUACAACUCAAGUGAAUGGACUGGGAAAAAAAUCUUGAAAAAGCAAAGUGGAGAUCCAGCAAAUGUGUGCGUCUGAUCCAUUCUGGCUUUUCCAUGCACUACGGACACUGUCUUGGAGUAGUUCUAAAAAUGUUUGCACCACAUCGAGCAAAGACACAUCUUGGUGUCCGAACCAGGUGACAUCUGGCAAGCUGGCAUCCCAGAGGUCCAUGUACUACUCCACUGGGAUGCACCCAGCACUACAGUGGCAGAUUUUGGAUUAGCUUUGAGACAAACUGCAAACUAUAAUCCAGCCACGGACUUGCUCCUGAGAACACGACGAGUUUGUUCAUGGGUAUGGUGACUUGUAGCUCUUUUUCAAAUGAUCCAGCUGUGGGAAAGGAAAAUGUAAGGGUCUCACACUGACGUGAGCUCAAUGAUUUAGGGGUUUUGCUGUACUUAAUGGCUCUGCUAAUUGGGUUGAGUGGAAAGACCAUGUCCCUUCAGCUUCUGCUCCUCCUGUUCUCUCCAGGCCCAAAAGGAGGAGGUGAGGGCACAGCCCACCUCUGGUGUGAAGGCAAGUAAAAAGGGGAGGAGAGCUCUCUCUUGCUUGUGUCUCCCCUGGCCCUGGCACCAGCAGGUGUGGAGCUUGCCUUGUCCUUCCCCCUCCCCAAACCCAGCAAACCAGCCAGUAUUUCUGAGACACAUUCUGCUCGCCCAGAUUUAGGAACUCCACACAGGAAUAGGUAACACAAAAAGAGUGUAACAGGGCUGAAUUUAAGGGAUCUUCAGCUUCCCCCCCCCCCGCUCCGUGUUUCAGAUUGGGACUUCAUCCCAGAUCAUUACAUGCUUAGCCAGGCAUAGCAGAGAUCAGCUCUUCCUUCCUGUUCAUGCAGCCCUGGGCAAACUGGUUGUACUUUGUUCAGAAGAAUAAACGGCAACCAGCAUCACGGUCAGCUCAUUUCCAUCGUCGUCACUGAUCUCGACCUGUCAGCUGCUUUUGCUGCUUAUUUGUUGGCAAAGACACUCAAGCCAAAGGUCCUUUGGGAGACGCAAAGACAAUAGAAGGAAACAUUUGCCUGGUGUCUGAUGUUACCGCAAAGGGCUGGCCAGUGCACGUAAAAAUAUUGGACUUAUGAUGGAAAAUUUCAUGGGAAAAUUGCAGGGAUGAGACCUGUGCUUCUAAGGACCUAUCUGCUCCCUGAUGCAUGCUCCAAUUUUGGCUGGAAUCAGCCUUUCUCAGCAAACUCCCACCCCUAAAGCUGAAAGGCUUUUGGGCUCAGGUAGGGCAGGGUACUAGUCGCAGCAGCUCCCCGAGUCAUUCCCUGUUUUCUAUUCCCGCUCCCAUCGUGUCAUCCAGAUUUCCAAAAAGGGACAGCUGUUCCCAUCUGACUAGUCCUGAUGUGGAGUACAGCUUAAACUCAAGACACCAACUAUCCAAUCCCAAUCCUUCCUGGAGUUCUUCCUUGGUGCAUUUUGGCUCUCCCCUCUCACGCCAGAAAACGCCCUAGUUCAGGCACAAGCUGUGACUGUUCUGUGCAGCUGCUGCUUGUUAUCAUGUCAGACCCUUUUGUAUGAAGAGAUCCUGUCUAUGUGUGAAAUGAAACCUAGUUAUAAAAGAGAAAAAUGUGGAUUCCCUGGGGUUGUGGUUGAGGCUGUGGGACUCUCUUAAACCCUGGGAGAUUAAUUUCUAGUUCUGCAAACAAGCUCUGAGUGGGAAAUGUUGCCUGCUGGAGCCAGCUCCUCCCACUGCAACUAAUGUGUUGAGACUCAGUGUGUGUGAAGGUUGCAUCUCUGGAAAGUAUUGUGAUGGACCACUGUCAGUGCAGGAAACCAACAAAACACCACAUGGUCAGCAGAUUUACUGAUCCAGGCAAAGGGGUUUGCAAUGGAAGGAACUGUGGAUCAGGAGAACAAUGUAUGUGAGUACCAGCAGAGCUCACGUCACAGCAGCACCACGCACAGGGUUACGUAGUUUGGAAGCGUGGGUACCUGUCUCUCACUCUCUUGCACUAACUUGAAUUUGUUUUCCAGAGGAGCACAUACAGGAAAGGUCUGCAUGGCUGUUUUUGAAGAGGAAAGAGAGAAGAACGUGUUGAUAGCAGAAGGACAAAGGCACAAAUACACUAGAAAAGGUAUGGAAGGAGAAUUUAAAGAUGGGUUCAACAACAGAUAUUCAGAUGUGAAGAAGAAAUUCUGCAGUAAGCACAGAAUGACUAGUGGUUUCUUUGCUCCAUAGGAAAAUAGGAAGACAGAGAGAAGAUGCAGCAUGUAAGAAAUAAAUGAUAUAUUAUUCCCUUACCCCUUUUUUUCUGCUGUUUUUGGCUGGUCUUCCUCAACUAUUUUUUUAAUGGUCCAGCUGGGUGAGCCCUUCACUUCAGCCAUUUGAAUGACUGGAGAUCAGUCAUUUGCAGACUCUGAGCAUUUUGUACCCACAUAUGUUCUUUCUUUUUCCUCCUGCUGCUCAGAAAGCUCUGCCCAGCUGUGCACCUCAUUAUGCCCUUGUGGCUAGGCUAUUUUAAGAAAACUUCUUCUAAAGGAGUAACAAAAUCAGCAAGCUCUAACUAUUGUAACUGUGGGAUUGGGGAAGUAAAGGUUAAGUGCUAGCACAGGUAUAGCUAAGCACUCUGAAGAUAACUGGCUUGCCAUUUCUUUAAAGACCACCAUUUUCCUAGAUCCAGGUAGGGCACUUAGGUUUGUGUCACGCCAGUUGCACACAGAGCCACAGCCAUUUCACUGAGAAAGCCAACUGAGAUCUGAAGAGGGAAGAAGGUUUUUCAGACAUGAUUUGAAGAAAGAAAUAACAGACUGAAAUGUCCCAGCGGGAGGCAGGGAAAUCGUUCCAGUGAGCUGGGCUGGACAAGCUGUGACAGCUGAAAGCUUCUUAUGGUCUUACCCUGCUAAUUCUGGUUAUGACAGGUUUUUAAUUUUUAUUUCCUAUUCAGCCUCCACGCUUAAUGUUUAGUAUUUGUGGAAAUCAGAGUGAGCAGAAGAGGUAGAGAUCAUAGAAGCAGUAAAGUGCAAAAUUAAGAAAAUAGGAAGAGCUAAGUACAUGAAAUGGACUAAUUCAGUCACAGACUAACCCCCCCUCCCAGCCCUCUGCCUCUAAAGGUCUGAAGGUACUCAACACCUCAGUGGUGGUACCUCGCCUGCUGCUGAGUUGGGAUCUGAGUAUGAAGAUGCCAUGUUACCAGGCACUACAUUUGACUGACACAGGCUCUAUCUCAGGUUGACCAAGCAAUGCACAACCUUAUGCCUGCUUCUGCCAAACUAAAGCCCUGCUCUGGUGAGCAGCCAGGGUGAAGGGCAGGUGAAGCAGCACAGCUUCCUGCUGUGCCUCCCUCCCACCACAGAUGAUGCUGUGUGUUUUGUGAAUUUAGAGUCCUUUAUUGAUAAGCACAGAAUGAAACAGAUUUGCCAUCUGUUGGUAUAUCCACUGGAUGAAAAGUGAAAACUAGAUCUUCUGUGUAAUCAGAAGCAGCCAGCAGAAGUUGUGACAUCAUUCCUGCCAUCAUGCAAUACUUUGCUGAGCUGCAGUGUGACAACGCGCUGCUUACCAUGCACACGCCAUCA